rnacentral:lncRNA from 1 species
AGCUAUUGUACCAGUGACCGUCAGGGAUUGUGUCAGACGGAGAUCAUCUUGUUGAAAGAUAAGUGGUUUCUAAACUUCCCCCUCAAAAAUCAAAACAUGUAGAUAUCGCUGGGCGGGGUGUCUUGGGUCAGGCAGGGUGUCUGAAUCAGGAAGUGAGGUGGGGUGGAGGUGGCAAUCCAGGCAGAGGAAUAACCAGCGCAAUGGCCCAAGUUGGGGAUGUGCUUAGCAUAGGGAAGGAUCGAGAAAGCAAGCAGGACAGGCGGAGAGUAAGAGGGAGGUAGAGGCGGUCAGAGAGCCAGUGGAGGACGUGAGAGGGGUUUGGAUUAGGGAAACACUUUGGAGAUGGGUGGGCUGGAUAUGCUGGGCUUAAUGCCUUCAAGGUUUUGGACCUACGCAACUGGAAGAAUGGAAUUGUAUCUAUUUACUAAGAUGUGGAAGAGUGUAAGGAGCAAGUUUGAGUUGGGAGAAAUCAAGAACCCUACUUGGGGACACCUUAAGUUUGAUAGCCAUCAGACAGGACAGCCAAGACUCUAAGGAAUGGGUAGGCCCCAAGGGAUGCUCUGGGGGAGCAAUGGGGACCAGGGUGGACGGACUCAGCAAGUCUUGCAUUCUACUUCUGGAGCAUUCCUUGUGAAAAUUCUCUCCUUUCCCACCCCUGUUGCCCCUUCAUUCUCCUCUCAGCACACCUGGCUCCCUCAGUGGGGGCAACAGCCAGACACUGCUUUAGAAGGGUCUUUCCAGAACAAAAUCUCUCCUCUGUUCCUAUCCACCACCAACUCCUUUUUGCUGCUAGCAAUGGUUUGUCUCUAAUUUUGUGGUUUCAGGACCUCCCUACAGUCUUAAAGGCUAUUGAGAAC